rnacentral:rRNA from 1 species
GCUCAACCGAGGAAGUGCUUCGAAAACUGGUAAACUUGAGUGCAGAAGAGGAAAGUGGAACUCCAUGUGUAGCGGUGGAAUGCGUAGAUAUAUGGAAGAACACCAGUGGCGAAGGCGGCUUUCUGGUCUGUAACUGACGCUGAGAUUCGAAAGCAUGGGUAGCAAACAGGAUUAGAUACCCUGGUAGUCCAUGCCGUAAACGAUGAGUGCUAAGUGUUGGAGGGUUUCCGCCCUUCAGUGCUGCAGCUAACGCAUUAAGCACUCCGCCUGGGGAGUACGAUCGCAAGAUUGAAACUCAAAGGAAUUGACGGGGGCCCGCACAAGCGGUGGAGCAUGUGGUUUAAUUCGAAGCAACGCGAAGAACCUUACCAGGUCUUGACAUACCAUGGGGGGGCGAAGAGAUUAGUCUUUCCCUUCGGGGACAUGGAUACAGGUGGUGCAUGGUUGUCGUCAGCUCGUGUCGUGAGAUGUUGGGUUAAGUCCCGCAACGGGCGCAACCCUUAUUAUCAGUUGCCAGCAUUCAGUUGGGCACUCUGGUGAGACUGCCGGUGACAAACCGGAGGAAGGUGGGGAUGACGUCAAAUCAUCAUGCCCCUUAUGACCUGGGCUACACACGUGCUACAAUGGUCGGUACAACG